rnacentral:rRNA from 1 species
ACACUCCUACGGGAGGCAGCAGUGGGGAAUUUUGGACAAUGGGCGAAAGCCUGAUCCAGCAAUGCCGCGUGAGUGAAGAAGGCCUUCGGGUUGUAAAGCUCUUUUGUCAGGGAAGAAACGGUGAAAGCUAAUAUCUUUUGCUAAUGACGGUACCUGAAGAAUAAGCACCGGCUAACUACGUGCCAGCAGCCGCGGUAAUACGUAGGGUGCAAGCGUUAAUCGGAAUUACUGGGCGUAAAGCGUGCGCAGGCGGUUUUGUAAGUCUGAUGUGAAAUCCCCGGGCUCAACCUGGGAAUUGCAUUGGAGACUGCAAGGCUAGAAUCUAGCAGAGGGGGGUAGAAUUCCACGUGUAGCAGUGAAAUGCGUAGAUAUGUGGAGGAACACCGAUGGCGAAGGCAGCCCCCUGGGUCAAGAUUGACGCUCAUGCACGAAAGCGUGGGGAGCAAACAGGAUUAGAAACCCGUGUAGUCCC